rnacentral:rRNA from 1 species
CCCCGUGAACCUUUACUAUAGCUUGACACUGAACAUUGAGCCUUGAUGUGUAGGAUAGGUGGGAGGCUUGGAAGUGUGGACGCCAGUCUGCAUGGAGCCGACCUUGAAAUACCACCCUUUAAUGUUUGAUGUUCUAACGUUGACCCGUAAUCCGGGUUGCGGACAGUGUCUGGUGGGUAGUUUGACUGGGGCGGUCUCCUCCUAAAGAGUAACGGAGGAGCACGAAGGUUGGCUAAUCCUGGUCGGACAUCAGGAGGUUAGUGCAAUGGCAUAAGCCAGCUUGACUGCGAGCGUGACGGCGCGAGCAGGUGCGAAAGCAGGUCAUAGUGAUCCGGUGGUUCUGAAUGGAAGGGCCAUCGCUCAACGGAUAAAAGGUACUCCGGGGAUAACAGGCUGAUACCGCCCAAGAGUUCAUAUCGACGGCGGUGUUUGGCACCUCGAUGUCGGCUCAUCACAUCCUGGGGCUGAAGUAGGUCCCAAGGGUAUGGCUGUUCGCCAUUUAAAGUGGUACGCGAGCUGGGUUUAGAACGUCGUGAGACAGUUCGGUCCCUAUCUGCCGUGGGCGCUGGAGAACUGAGGGGGGCUGCUCCUAGUACGAGAGGACCGGAGUGGACGCAUCACUGGUGUUCGGGUUGUCAUGCCAAUGGCACUGCCCGGUAGCUAAAUGCGGAAGAGAUAAGUGCUGAAAGCAUCUAAGCACGAAACUUGCCCCGAGAUGAGUUCUCCCUGACUCCUUGAGAGUCCUGAAGGAACGUUGAAGACGACGACGUUGAUAGGCCGGGUGUGUAAGCGCAGCGAUGCGUUGAGCUAACCGGUACUAAUGAACCGUGAGGCUUAACCUUACAACGCCGAAGCUGUU